GGAUGCCUACGGGGCGCAGCAGUAGGGAAUAUUGCUCAAUGGGGGAAACCCUGAAGCAGCAACGCCGCGUGGAGGAUGAAGGUUUUCGGAUUGUAAACUCCUUUUGUUAGAGAAGAUAAUGACGGUAUCUAACGAAUAAGCACCGGCUAACUCCGUGCCAGCAGCCGCGGUAAUAAGGAGGGUGCAAGCGUUACUCGGAAUCACUGGGCGUAAAGAGCGCGUAGGCGGGAUAGAAAGUCAGAUGUGAAAUCCGAUGGCUUAACCAUAGAACUGCAUUUGAAACCGUUAUUCUAGAGU
rnacentral:rRNA from 1 species